ensembl:lncRNA
UUUGACCUCCAGCCCAAUCCUGGGAGAUAGAAAAACCAUUAUUAUCCCAUUUCACAGAUGGAUCAAAGGAGGCACAAAAUGGCCAAGUACUUGCCCAAAGUCACACACUGGUGAGUAGAAGAGCCCUAUGGUCCUGUGCAGAGCAGUAUGAAGACCUCUGCAAAGGUGACACACAGAACGUUUUGUUCAGUGCCCUGGUCUCUGGCCUGGGGUCUGUGGGCGAUGAUGUGGAGAAAGGAUGCUGAAGGCAGACUGGCAGGAACAUGGUGUGGAAUUGAAUCUCAUUCUGUCAUCUGCAAGGAUGUGUGGCCUUGGAUCUUAGGCAAGUUACUAAUUUCUUCAAAGACACUAUUUCCUCGCUGGUGAAGGGGAAUUACUAAUGGUGCUUUCUUUACAGUAUUAUGAGGGUUGAAUUGAAUAACACAUGUAAAGCUUUCAGAACAGUGUCAGGGGGGCAGUGAGGUCUCAUGCUUGAAACGACAGAAGUAAUGACCCCAUCAUUGUCUGGACAGUCAGGGGUUCUUACAGGGUGCUCUGGAAUGCCAGCCUUGUCCUCCCUGUCCCUGGUGUCUGGCCAGGUUGACCUCAGCUCAGCUAUAAUGGGCUCAGGCUUUUCACCUUAUUUAGCUUUUCCGAGGCAGAGUCCAUAGGCCAUCAAGAGGGAAUGAAGAUCUCUACUCUGGCUGCUCAUGAGGGGGUCACCCCCAGAUAGGGCCAAACCACAUGGCUUGAUGUUCCUGCAUGACUGUUUUGCUCACUGCAGAGUCCCUGCCCCUCUUAGGAGAGGUCUGUGUGGCUAGGUAUCUUCUUAUUGAGGAAAGAACCAGCCCCUGGGGGUGGCUACCUGAGGGCUCAAGCCUUCCUGAAGCAUGAGGCUUCUAGCAAGCUCAACUCCACGGUCUGGUGCCCCACACUCUGUAUUUGCUCUUAAGUCUCUUUAAUUUCCCCAUGCACUGAUAACCUUGAGGACAAAGCUCAACAAUGGGUUUUUGUUGACUAAUGAAUUCACUAUUCUUUCAGCUACUAGAAAUUUGUAAAAAUCCCCAUUCAAUGGGAGCUGAAGCCAUUCGGAAUGGUAUCAAGUGGGAGAGAGUCUCUCUCUCUCUUUCUCUCUCUCUCUCUCACACACACACACACACACACACACACGCACGCACACGUACACGCACACACACACACACACACACACAGAAUGUGAAAAUUGGGGGGGGAUAGUUCUAGGGACGUCUGAGGUACAUGCAUUCCCCUGCAAUCUUUUUUAUUUAAAAAGAGCACAAACCAUAGUGUGACAACUGCAGUCCUCUUUUUUCCCACUAAAAAAAAUAGACACAAACCACGCUGUAAAACCCUAACAGAAAUGUUGCUUUAAUCACUCCUAAUCCCAUCACUCAAGCAAAUCAACUGUUUUUAAUCUUCCCUUCCAGAGCCUGACUGUAAGCAGACAUGUUUCUAAACAACUAUAAUCAUAACACAGUUUUGCAUUCUGUUUCUUCCUUAUAUCUUAACCCUUGCCCUGCAGUCUUCAUAGGCAUCAUUUUUAAUGGCUCACUCAAUUCCAUCAAGUGGAAGCUUCUGAAAUUUACUUACCAUCCCCCUAGACGAAUAUUACAUAAUUUCCUGAAAGAGCCAAAAUUAGCUGGGAAACAAACAUCUAGGUGAUUUCUAUAAUUUCUCAAUGUUAUUGAGCUCUAGAAAUGCCUGGCCUUAAAAAGCUUCUUGGGAAAGAUACAUUGCUGAUCCAAGACUGGAGCUCUUCUCUACUUAUUUAAAUACAUGUCCUUUUUUUCCUAAGGAGGCUCAAGUCCAGAUCCCUUGCACACACUGUUUGUCUUUUCAACAGCACAACCAGGGAUUGUUCCUUUCAAUAGUGUUUUUCAAUGGGAAUUCAAUUUGUGCUCCAUCUUGUCACCACCAUCACCAGCAUCAUCAUGAUCGUCUUUCUAAGAGCUGCCGUUUAUUGAGCAUUUUCCCUGUGCCAGGCACUCUAAAUAUUAUUUUUGCAUCAUUAUUUUGUUUAAUCCCAUUAGUUGUCACUGUUAUUGUCCUCAGUUACAGAUAAGGAAACUGAGGCUCAAGAUGGUGAAGUGGCUUGUCCAAAGUCUAGUGGCUCUUAAAUGUCGGAGGCUGACUACCUCAUUCCAUCCCACAACCCCUUGCAGCUUCCUUAGGUAUAAGUACCACCCAGCUCCUUAAGCAAGGGCCUUUCUGCAGUGUGGAGUUUGGUCUAAAUCUCCCAAGAUGGGCUGCUGGGCCCAAGGUGCCUUCCCCGCAGUGCAUCUCUCUUUGGGUAGAAAAGCCAGUCUUCCUCCACCCCACAGGAACCCUGGACAGGAUAGUGUGUGCCUGGCUUACAUGGAAACUGAGAAGCCUGUGUCUGGCAGAAGUUGGGGCCCAGAAACAGGACAAGCCUUGCCUAAGGUCACAGGGUGAGUCAUUGGCCCAGAUAGGCUAUAACCUUGGUCUCCUGACCUAUGACCAGCGUUCUGUCCUCCUCAUUGGGAGAUGAUUUCAAUGGAUUGCAUCUGAAACUAGAGAGGCUUUAGAGCUGGCCAACAGCUCUGCCCUUGGAACAGGCUGGUGCAGUCACAUAACCAGAGAGUCCAGGGCAAAAAUUGGAAAGAAGGCAGUGACUGGUGCCCAGUGUGGUGGACAGAGGUGAAGAAACAGCACAGACUUGAGUGUGUGAGGAACACAGUCCAGGGCCCAGCCCAGCUUUGGCUACUGGCCUGCCUGGUCAGGCUUAUCACAGAAGCCUGACCAAAGGGAUUUCCUAAAAGGAAAUGGUGUUUUGCUCUUUUGAGUCUUCCAUAAGCAGUAAAAAUCCUGAGAGGGACCUUCAAGAUGACCAUAUCUCUCCUGGGCAAGAACAGAGACUGCUACAGGAACAGAGACAACUUCUGCUACUCAUUCAUUCAACAGGUACUUAUUGAAGCUUUCUGUGUCAGACAAUGGGGUUAACUGAGGGAAUAAGACAGACAAGCUUUCUAUCUUUGUGCAACAUCUAUCUCAACAGGGAUAAUAAGCUAGUCAACAAGCAAGAUCCUUCCUGAAGACAAGUGAUGGGAAGGAGACAAUCUGAGUGGUGUGGCAGAGACCGUGACUGGAGUGGGGUGUUGUCAUGUGUUGGAAACAGAUGCUCGGUGCCACACAGAAAAAUCAGCACUGAGAAAAAAGAUCUCCCAGCAAGGCAAUUUUACUUCCUGCAGAAAGGGUGCUCCUGUUAGCUAUCUUGCUAUGAGAGUACAAUGAACAAAGGAAAACAUAUUUAUCCUCUAUGCCCUUGAGGUGGUCUUUACUGCUGUGUCUGAUCUCUGUUGGUUGGAGCCAGAUGUCACAAUCUAAACUAAAACUUGAUUGUCCAACAACUUAAAACUUUUCUAAACCGGUAAAAGCAAUGGAGAACAAAAGAAAAAGAGGAAGUCUAAAUAAGGAAGGGACAGGAAGUUGCUUGCAACAUAAAUAUCUUGGUUAAAGCACAAGGACAUAGAAUGUACUUAUUCCUUUAUAUCUAACAGUUACAUAGGAUAGGGCUUAACAAAGAGUCACUGGCAAAAAGCAAGAGGGCUUUGAAGAGAGUUAGUCUUUAAAAGAGACUAUUACUUCUAACAUUUAUUAUUAUUAUUAUUUAACAAGAAAGGAAACUUUGAAGUGGAAUUU